UACGAAGGGGGCUAGCGUUGUUCGGAAUUACUGGGCGUAAAGCGCGCGCAGGCGGCCAUUCAAGUCAGGGGUGAAAGCCCGAGGCUCAACCUCGGAAUUGCCUUUGAAACUGUUUGGCUUGAGUACGGGAGAGGUGAGUGGAAUUCCCAGUGUAGAGGUGAAAUUCGUAGAUAUUGGGAAGAACACCGGUGGCGAAGGCGGCUCACUGGCCCGUUUCUGACGCUCAUGCGCGAUAGCGUGGGGAUCAAACAGG
rnacentral:rRNA from 1 species